UAUUAUCAGAACAAGUUUUCCUGAUGCUUAUUUGUCUACCAAGACCAGGAAGAAAUAUUAGGAAUUAUAUCCAUGCAAGCACACACAUAUCUCUUGAGGGGGUGGGGUCAUUAGAGCAUAGAUGGUAUGUUAAAACUGAGAUUUACAGCUUGUGGCACCUCCACACGACCCCACCCCCAUGCUCUUGAAGCUGCUCCGUCUCUUCCUGGCUUUUUUUUUUUUUUUUUUUUUUUGAGACAGCCUCCUGGGUUCUCGCCAUUCUCCUGCCUCAGCCUCCUGAGUAGCUGGGACUAUAGGCACCCGCCACCACGCCCGGCUAAUUUUUUGUAUUUUUAGUAGACACGGGGUUUCACCGUGUUAGCCAGGAUGAUCUCGAUCUCCUGACCUUGUGAUCUGCCCACCUCGGCCUCCCAAAGUGCUGGGAUUAUAGGCGUGAGCCACCGCGCCUGGCCACU
rnacentral:lncRNA from 10 species